rnacentral:rRNA from 1 species
AGUGAACGCUGGCGGUAGGCCUAACACAUGCAAGUCGAACGGCAGCACAGUAAGAGCUUGCUCUUACGGGUGGCGAGUGGCGGACGGGUGAGGAAUACAUCGGAAUCUACUUUUUCGUGGGGGAUAACGUAGGGAAACUUACGCUAAUACCGCAUACGACCUACGGGUGAAAGCAGGGGAUCUUCGGACCUUGCGCGAUUGAAUGAGCCGAUGUCGGAUUAGCUAGUUGGCGGGGUAAAGGCCCACCAAGGCGACGAUCCGUAGCUGGUCUGAGAGGAUGAUCAGCCACACUGGAACUGAGGCACGGUCCAGACUCCUACGGGAGGCAGCAGUGGGGAAUAUUGGACAACGGGCGCAAGCCUGAUCCAGCCAUACCGCGUGGGUGAAGAAGGCCUUCGGGUUGUAAAGCCCUUUUGUUGGGAAAGAAAAGCAGCAGGUUAAUACCCCGCUGUUCUGACGGUACCCAAAGAAUAAGCACCGGCUAACUUCGUG